rnacentral:rRNA from 1 species
GGAACGCUCUGGAAAGUGCGGCCAUAGUGGGUGAUAGCCCCGUACGCGAAAGGAUCUUUGAAGUGAAAUCGAGUAGGACGGAGCACGAGAAACUUUGUCUGAACAUGGGGGGACCAUCCUCCAAGGCUAAAUACUACUGACUGACCGAUAGUGAACCAGUACCGUGAGGGAAAGGCGAAAAGAACCCCGGAGAGGGGAGUGAAAUAGAACCUGAAACCGUAUGCGUACAAGCAGUGGGAGCCUACUUGUUAGGUGACUGCGUACCUUUUGUAUAAUGGGUCAGCGACUUAUAUUCAGUGGCAAGCUUAACCGUAUAGGGUAGGCGUAGCGAAAGCGAGUCUUAAUAGGGCGUUUAGUCGCUGGGUAUAGACCCGAAACCGGGCGAUCUAUCCAUGAGCAGGUUGAAGGUUAGGUAACACUGACUGGAGGACCGAACCCACUCCCGUUGAAAAGGUAGGGGAUGACUUGUGGAUCGGAGUGAAAGGCUAAUCAAGCUCGGAGAUAGCUGGUUCUCCUCGAAAGCUAUUUAGGUAGCGCCUCAUGUAUCACUCUGGGGGGUAGAGCACUGUUUCGGCUAGGGGGUCAUCCCGACUUACCAAACCGAUGCAAACUCCGAAUACCCAGAAGUGCCGAGCAUGGGAGACACACGGCGGGUGCUAACGUCCGUCGUGAAAAGGGAAACAACCCAGACCGCCAGCUAAGGUCCCAAAGUUGUGGUUAAGUGGUAAACGAUGUGGGAAGGCUUAGACAGCUAGGAGGUUGGCUUAGAAGCAGCCAUCCUUUAAAGAAAGCGUAAUAGCUCACUAGUCGAGUCGGCCUGCGCGGAAGAUGUAACGGGGCUCAAACCACACACCGAAGCUGCGGGUGUCACGUAAGUGACGCGGUAGAGGAGCGUUCUGUAAGCCUGUGAAGGUGAGUUGAGAAGCUUGCUGGAGGUAUCAGAAGUGCGAAUGCUGACAUGAGUAACGACAAUGGGUGUGAAAAACACCCACGCCGAAAGACCAAGGGUUCCUGCGCAACGUUAAUCGACGCAGGGUUAGUCGGUUCCUAAGGCGAGGCUGAAAAGCGUAGUCGAUGGGAAACAGGUUAAUAUUCCUGUACUUCUGGUUACUGCGAUGGAGGGACGGAGAAGGCUAGGCCAGCUUGGCGUUGGUUGUCCAAGUUUAAGGUGGUAGGCUGAAAUCUUAGGUAAAUCCGGGGUUUCAAGGCCGAGAGCUGAUGACGAGUCGUCUUUUAGAUGACGAAGUGGUUGAUGCCAUGCUUCCAAGAAAAGCUUCUAAGCUUCAGGUAACCAGGAACCGUACCCCAAACCGACACAGGUGGUCGGGUAGAGAAUACCAAGGCGCUUGAGAGAACUCGGGUGAAGGAACUAGGCAAAAUGGCACCGUAACUUCGGGAGAAGGUGCGCCGGCUAGGGUGAAGGAUUUACUCCGUAAGCUCUGGCUGGUCGAAGAUACCAGGCCGCUGCGACUGUUUAUUAAAAACACAGCACUCUGCAAACACGAAAGUGGACGUAUAGGGUGUGACGCCUGCCCGGUGCCGGAAGGUUAAUUGAUGGGGUUAGCGCAAGCGAAGCUCUUGAUCGAAGCCCCGGUAAACGGCGGCCGUAACUAUAACGGUCCUAAGGUAGCGAAAUUCCUUGUCGGGUAAGUUCCGACCUGCACGAAUGGCGUAACGAUGGCGGCGCUGUCUCCACCCGAGACUCAGUGAAAUUGAAAUCGCUGUGAAGAUGCAGUGUAUCCGCGGCUAGACGGAAAGACCCCGUGAACCUUUACUGUAGCUUUGCACUGGACUUUGAGCCUGCUUGUGUAGGAUAGGUGGGAGGCUUUGAAGCGUGGACGCCAGUUCGCGUGGAGCCAUCCUUGAAAUACCACCCUGGCAUGCUUGAGGUUCUAACUCUGGUCCGUGAUCCGGAUCGAGGACAGUGUAUGGUGGGCAGUUUGACUGGGGCGGUCUCCUCCUAAAGAGUAACGGAGGAGUACGAAGGUGCGCUCAGACCGGUCGGAAAUCGGUCGCAGAGUAUAAAGGCAAAAGCGCGCUUGACUGCGAGACAGACACGUCGAGCAGGUACGAAAGUAGGUCUUAGUGAUCCGGUGGUUCUGUAUGGAAGGGCCAUCGCUCAACGGAUAAAAGGUACUCCGGGGAUAACAGGCUGAUACCGCCCAAGAGUUCAUAUCGACGGCGGUGUUUGGCACCUCGAUGUCGGCUCAUCACAUCCUGGGGCUGAAGCCGGUCCCAAGGGUAUGGCUGUUCGCCAUUUAAAGUGGUACGCGAGCUGGGUUUAGAACGUCGUGAGACAGUUCGGUCCCUAUCUGCCGUGGACGUUUGAGAUUUGAGAGGGGCUGCUCCUAGUACGAGAGGACCGGAGUGGACGAACCUCUGGUGUUCCGGUUGUCACGCCAGUGGCAUUGCCGGGUAGCUAUGUUCGGAAAAGAUAACCGCUGAAAGCAUCUAAGCGGGAAACUUGCCUCAAGAUGAGAUCUCACUGGGAACUUGAUUCCCCUGAAGGGCCGUCGAAGACUACGACGUUGAUAGGCUGGGUGUGUAAGCGUUGUGAGGCGUUGAGCUAACCAGUACUAAUUGCCCGUGAGGCUUGACCAU